rnacentral:tRNA from 1 species
GGGCAGAUGGCCGAGUGGUCUAAGGCGCUAGUUUUAGGCACUAGUCUUCGGGCGUGGGUUCGAAUCCCACUCUGCUCA